rnacentral:rRNA from 1 species
CCUACGGGAGGCAGCAGUGGGGAAUAUUGCACAAUGGGGGAAACCCUGAUGCAGCGAAGCCGCGUGAGUGAAGAAGUAUUUCGGUAUGUAAAGCUCUAUCAGUAGGGAAGAAAAUGACGGUACCUGAUUCAGAAUCCCCGUCUAACUACGUGCCAGCAGCCGCGGUAAUACGGAGGGGGCCAGCGUUAUCCGGAUUUACCGGGUGUAAAGGGAGCGUAGACGGCAGCACAAGUCAGUAGUGAAAUGUCGAGGCUUAACCGCGGAACUGCAAUGGAAACUGUGCAGCUUGAGUGCAGGUGAGGUAAGUGGAAUUCCUGGUGUAGCGGUGAAAUGCGUAGAUAUUAGGAGGAACACCGGUGGCGAAGGCGGCUUACUAGACUGUAACUGACAUUGAGGCUCGAAAGCGUGGGGAGCAAACAGGAUUAGAUACCCGAGUAGUC